rnacentral:rRNA from 1 species
UACGGGGGGUGCAAGCGCUAUUCGGAAUCAUUGGGCGUAAAGAGCGCGUAGGCGGUCUCUUAUGUCUGAUGUGAAAUCCAUCGGCUCAACCGAGGAAGUGCAUUUGAAACUGAGAGACUUGAGUAUGGGAGAGGGAAGCGGAAUUCCUGGUGUAGCGGUGAAAUGCGUAGAUAUCAGGAGGAACACCGGUGGCGAAGGCGGCUUCCUGGACCAAUACUGACGCUGAGGCGCGAAGGCGUGGGGAGCAAACAGG